AUGAUCAUACUUUAUAGGGACCACUAAAUAUAGUGCGAUUGCCGGGGUUUUUCGCCCAGAGAUUCUCGGAAUAUAUUCAGCCACGAUGAGGACUGUUAGUGUAAUCCUCUGAGCGGGAAGCGGCUGUCAAGGGGUUUGUUGCUUGAGAGAUUGAUGACCGUUCGAUCGGUUUACCGAGCUCAGAGGAGGAUAUCAAUCCACAAGUCUGGA